rnacentral:snoRNA from 1 species
GAAUCAUGAUGAAUUAUAACUGACAAGCAUAUGUCUGAAUUUGGUGAUGUUUCUCCAAUUCUGAAAUC